CAUACAAAGCCCCACUCCCAUUCUCACCAUAGUACAAAGGGUAUAUUGAUAAUAUUUUCAAUAACCCUUAAUCAAAGGAAUUCAAAGAAAUACAACAUGGGCCCACAAACGGUCCAAAAAUUCAUUUCCAUAUCUCCAAAAAUUUCUCCCAAACAUGGGCCUAGUCUUCACUUUCCCUCAAUUUCAUUUUUUGCACAUCCAACAUAUCAAUGAUCCCUCUCAUCUUCAUCCUCUAUAAUCAAUGGUGAUAAAGAAUGACUGUGACUUUUUCUUUUAUGGCUGUAGGAGUUAAGUUAUUUUGACAAUAUUAUUUCAUUUUUCUUUUCUUUCCUUUUGGUUACUUUUUCUUCUUUAUUUUUUGAUUUCUUUUUCUUUUCAUCCUCAUUAUUAUUUUAUUUGAAUAUAAUGAUUAGCCUUUUGUACUUCCUCUAUUGUUAGUAAAAAUAUUCUAAUUUGAUUUUGUGAUUUAAUGUUGCUUUGUGAUAUGCCCACCAGAUGCUUGUUGAAAUUUCCAACCGGCAGAAGCCUUUUUUGCUUGACAAGUGAGAAAGAUGGUUUAAGAAUUUAUUGCACUUAGGGAGUUUAAGGAUUUCAUUACUUGAUGUCUUUAGAAAGACCCUGCAAAGAGGUAGACCACUAGGCCACUAUUGUUCCAUCAUUAUAUCUUUCAAUAUGGUUCUCUGAUUCAGGUGCAUCAGUCUAAUCUAUUCUUCCUUUACCUCGUCAUCUUUCAUCUUCUUGAUUGUUGCUUUUAGAUAAUUUUUUCACUUAUUAAUUUUGUGGGUUGGAUUCUGGUUUGCAAUUGUGGGUCUAAACUGAUUAUAGAAUCUGAAUAUUACAAAAAUUUUGAUUAAGUGAUGUAUUUGAGAUUGGUGCCAGUACCUAAAUACAUGUUCCAACAAAGUAGGAUUUGCUUCAUGUUAAGGGCAAGGCAGGGAUAGAUAUACAAGUUAUUGCUUUUAUUAUCAAGUACCAAUGAACCAAGAUUUACAUUCCUUGACACCCCUAACACAAGCAAUUUCUAAGAAUAUUUUUGUUGCAUUCUUUUUAUGCUGCAUUUUGAAGCUUUCAUAGGCAUUUUUUUCAAUGGUUAUCAGAAUUACAACUUCAAGAGAAACAUUUACAUUAUGUUCGGUGAUUCAAGUUGAAAAAGGAGUUGGAUUGUUGAUUGUCUUUAGCAAUCUCAUCAUUCAUCUUCAUACUCUUUGGCUCUGGGUUCUCAGUCUCUCACUGUUAAACUUUUUGAUUGAACAAGUUUUAUCUUAACUACUCAUUUUCCCAUUUUUGUUUACCUGUGGAGGAUUUUUAAAUCUUAAUUCUGUUUGUUGUGAAAAGAGAAACAUUCUUUGAUUGAUUUUCUCGAUUGUACCAAGGCUAAUUUAAUACAUUAAUUUGUCUCUAUUUUGCCAAGAAUGAAAUAUCUUAAAACUUAUCCAUAUUCAUGAAUCUUGGACCAAUAUGAUAAAUAUCUAUCUCUAUUGACUGAGGGAAACUUCUCCUGAUUGAUGAUCAAUCGAUAUGAAUUCUUUUGAUUGUAGAAAUGCUAUGUGAGGUCAAGUAAUCUCAUAGAACUUUCUUACUGUACAGUAUUUUAUCACUUUGAUUUGAUUUUUUUGUGUGUUUUUAUCUUCACAUUAUUUCACUGAUGAAUAAAAAAAGGCAAAAUGUACAGAAUCAAAAGCGAAAAGGGAAAUGAAAGCAAAAAAUACUAAUACACCAAAACGUCCUCUGGCUUCCUCCUUCCUUUUCAUGUGCAAUUUCUUUUCCUUUCAUUUUCUAUAUUGCACAAGCUUGAGUAAUUUAUUUGAUGUUAUGUUCGAUGUUAAUCAUUACAGGGAUGAUUUUAGGAAAGAGUACAAGGAGAGUAAUUUUGAUUGCAAAAGUGUAAAAGAUGUGAAAUUCUUAAAGGUUUUCUACUAUGCAUUUCAAUUCUAGGUUUCUAUCAUGACAUGUUUGGUUUCUGGAAUAUUAGGUAGCCAAGGACGGUGUUGAGAAAUGGUAAUCCAUGACUAUUGAAGUGAGUUUUUUUGCUUCAAUGAUCACUAGGAAAAACAAUUCUAUCAAGAUAGAGCCGUAGAACUGAAAGCAAAAUAUGUAAAGGCCAUGAAGGCAACUCUACAUUUAUUUGUUUUAUGUUGAGAACACCAGUGACUGAAUUGAGUGUAAUGUUAUUUAUAAUUGCUUUGUUUUACUUUCAAAAUUGUUUAUGGUUGUGGGUAAGAUUUGCUUGUAGUAUGAUGUGAAUAUGUGGAAGUUAUGGAAUCAUGAG
rnacentral:lncRNA from 1 species